UGGCUCAGGAUGAACGCUAGCUACAGGCUUAACACAUGCAAGUCGAGGGGAAACGACAUCGAAAGCUUGCUUUUGAUGGGCGUCGACCGGCGCACGGGUGAGUAACGCGUAUCCAACCUGCCCACCACUUGGGGAUAACCUUGCGAAAGUAAGACUAAUACCCAAUGACGUCUCUAGAAGACAUCUGAAAGAGAUUAAAGAUUUAUCGGUGAUGGAUGGGGAUGCGUCUGAUUAGCUUGUUGGCGGGGUAACGGCCCACCAAGGCGACGAUCAGUAGGGGUUCUGAGAGGAAGGUCCCCCACAUUGGAACUGAGACACGGUCCAAACUCCUACGGGAGGCAGCAGUGAGGAAUAUUGGUCAAUGGACGAGAGUCUGAACCAGCCAAGUAGCGUGCAGGAUGACGGCCCUAUGGGUUGUAAACUGCUUUUAUAAGGGAAUAAAGUGAGUCUCGUGAGACUUUUUGCAUGUACCUUAUGAAUAAGGACCGGCUAAUUCCGUGCCAGCAGCCGCGGUAAUACGGAAGGUCCGGGCGUUAUCCGGAUUUAUUGGGUUUAAAGGGAGCGUAGGCCGGAGAUUAAGCGUGUUGUGAAAUGUAGACGCUCAACGUCUGCACUGCAGCGCGAACUGGUUUCCUUGAGUACGCACAAAGUGGGCGGAAUUCGUGGUGUAGCGGUGAAAUGCUUAGAUAUCACGAAGAACUCCGAUUGCGAAGGCAGCUCACUGGAGCGCAACUGACGCUGAAGCUCGAAAGUGCGGGUAUCGAACAGGAUUAGAUACCCUGGUAGUCCGCACGGUAAACGAUGGAUGCCCGCUGUUGGUCUGAAUAGGUCAGCGGCCAAGCGAAAGCAUUAAGCAUCCCACCUGGGGAGUACGCCGGCAA
rnacentral:rRNA from 1 species